rnacentral:rRNA from 1 species
UGGGGGAUAGCCUUUCGAAAGGAAGAUUAAUACCGCAUAAGAUUGUAGUAUCGCAUGAUAUAGCAAUUAAAGAGCAAUCCGCUAUAAGAUGGACCCGCGUCGCAUUAGCUAGUUGGUGAGGUGAUGGCUCACCAAGGCGACGAUGCGUAGCCGACCUGAGAGGGUGAUCGGCCACAUUGGGACUGAGACACGGCCCAGACUCCUACGGGAGGCAGCAUG